rnacentral:rRNA from 1 species
AGUAGCGGAUGGUGAGUUGCUUUAAUUGUCAGCGCAGUGGCGGACGGGGGAGUAAUAUAUAGGGUAACGUGCCCUAGAGAAGAGGAUAAGAUUUGGAAACGAAUGCUGAUACUCUAUAUGCCUUUAAGACAUAAGUCUGCAAGGGAAAUAUUUAUAGCUCUAGGAUCGGCCUGUACGGUAUCAGCUUGUUGGUGAGGUAAUGGCUCACCAAGGCAAUGACACCUAACUGGUUUGAGAGGAUGAUCAGUCACACUGGAACUGAGACACGGUCCAGACCCAUACGGGAGGCAGCAUUGGGGAAUAUUGCACAAUGGACGAAAGUCUGAUGCAGCUACGCCGCGUGGAGGAUGACACAUUUCGGUGCGUAAACUCCUUUUAUAUAGGAAGAUAAUGACGGUACUAUAUGAAUAAGCGCCGGCUAACUCCGUGCCUGCAGCCGCGGUAAUACGUAGGGUGCAAGUGUUUCUCGGAAUCACUGGUCGUUAAGAGCGUGUAGGCGGGUAAUUUAGUCAUAAGUGAUAUCCAAUAGCUCAACUGUUGAACUGCUUUUUGAAACUGGUUACCUAAAAAUAUGUGAGAGGUAUAUGGAUUUUCUGGUGUAUGGG